rnacentral:rRNA from 1 species
GAUUGAAACGACUGCUAAGACUGGAUAGGAAACAAAAAGGCAUCUUUUUGUUUUUAAAAGACCUUCUUACGAAGGUAUGCUUAAAGAGGGGCUUGCGCCACAUUAGUUAGUUGGUAGGGUAAAAGCCUACCAAGACGAUGAUGUGUAGCUGGACUGAGAGGUUGAACAGCCACAUUGGGACUGAGACACGGCCCAAACUCCUACGGGAGGCAGCAGUGGGGAAUUUUCGGCAAUGAAGGAAACUCUGACCGAGCAACGCCGCGUGAACGAUGAAGUAUUUCGGUAUGUAAAGUUCUUUUAUUGAAGAAGAAAAAGUAGUGGAAAAACUAUAUUGACGUUAUUCAAUGAAUAAGCCCCGGCUAACUAUGUGCCAGCAGCCGCGGUAAGACAUAGGGGGCGAGCGUUAUCCGGAAUUAUUGGGCGUAAAGGGUGCGUAGGCUGUUAGAUAAGUCUAUAAUUUAAUUUCAGUGCUUAACGCUGUCUUGUUAUAGAAACUGUCUUAACUAGAGUGAGAUAGAGGCAAGCGGAAUUCCAUGUGUAGCGGUAAAAUGUGUAAAUAUAUGGAGGAACAUCAGAAGCGUAGGCGGCUUGCUGGGUCUUUACUGACGCUGAGGCACGAAAGCGUGGGUAGCAAACAGGAUUAGAUACCCUGGUAGUCCACGCCGUAAACGAUGAGUACUAAGUGUCGGGGUAAAACUCGGUACUGAAGUUAACACAUUAAGUACUCCGCCUGAGUAGUACGUACGCAAGUAUGAAACUUAAAGGAAUUGACGGGACUCCGCACAAGCGGUGGAUCAUGUUGUUUAAUUCGAAGAUAAACGAAAAAUCUUACCAGGUCUUGACAUACUCUGCAAAGCUAUAGAAAUAUAGUGGAGGUUAUCAGGGAUGCAGGUGGUGCAUGGUUGUCGUCAGUUCGUGUCGUGAGAUGUUAGGUUAAGUCCUAAAACGAGCGCAACCCUUGUCGUUAAUUGCCAGCACGUAAUGGUGGGGACUUUAGCGAGACUGCCAAUUAAACAUUGGAGGAAGGUGAGGAUUACGUCAAAUCAUCAUGCCCCUUAUGAUCUGGGCUACAAACGUGAUACAAUGGCUGUGACAAAGAGUAGCUGAAACGCGAGUUUUUAGCCAGUCUCAAAAAAGCAGUCUCAGUUCGGAUUGAAGUCUGUAACUCGACUUCAUGAAGUUGGAAUCGCUAGUAAUCGCGAAUCAGCAUGUCGCGGUGAAUACGUUCUCGGGGUUUGUACACACCGCCCGUCAAAUC